GAAAAAAUGCGUGAUGGCGACAUCGAGUACUUCAAAAGUACUACAGCAUGAUUCUCCAGCAGCUUGAUUUUGUUUUAAGCCUUAUUGGAAGAGACCUUCAAAGGCGUUGCUGCAUUAGAAAGCCCAUUUCUUCAGCGGAACGACUGGCCAUGGCGCUCAGGAAGAAGCGGAUAUGGAGGAAGAAUCGGAAGACCAGUGGGAGGCUCUGCUGGUGACGCAAGACCCUGACAGCCAGCUACGGUUGGCGAACAAGGCUCGGGCGGCGGCAGCGAGCCAUGGCUACCUGGACUGAGGAGGCCACCCACCUUUGGGCUCAAGAAGCCUGGUAUAACAAUAAAGUUUAUUUCUCUCUCUCUC